rnacentral:rRNA from 1 species
GAGUUUGAUCAUGGUUCAGAAUCAACGCUGGGCGGCGUGCUUCAGACAUGCAAGUCGAACGCGAAAGUCCCCUUUCGGGGGGCAAGUAGAGUGGCGCACGGGUGAGUAACACGUAGGUAAUCUACCUUUGGAUUGGGAAUAACCACCGGAAACGGUGGCUAAUACCGAAUAAUGCAGCGGCACCUAAUGGUGACAGUUGUUAAAGCGGGGGAUCGAAAGACCUCGCGUCUGAAGAGGAGCCUGCGGCAGAUUAGCUAGUUGGUAAGGUAACGGCUUACCAAGGCGAUGAUCUGUAGCCGGCCUGAGAGGGCGGUCGGCCACACUGACACUGACAUACGGGUCAGACUCCUACGGGAGGCAGCAGUCGGGAAUUCUGGGCAAUGGGCGAAAGCCUGACCCAGCAACGCCGCGUGAAGGAUGAAAUCCCUCGGGAUGUAAACUUCGCAAGAACGGGAAGAAUAAGUAAGA